CAGGCCAUAUUGUGCUGCCUCAAA
rnacentral:ncRNA from 2 species